AGUGAACGCUGGCGGUAGGCCUAACACAUGCAAGUCGAACGGCAGCACAGUAAGAGCUUGCUCUUACGGGUGGCGAGUGGCGGACGGGUGAGGAAUACAUCGGAAUCUACUUUUUUGUGGGGGAUAACGUAGGGAAACUUACGCUAAUACCGCAUACGACCUACGGGUGAAAGCAGGGGAUCUUCGGACCUUGCGCGAUUGAAUGAGCCGAUGUCGGAUUAGCUAGUUGGCGGGGUAAAGGCCCACCAAGGCAACGAUCCGUAGCUGGUCUGAGAGGAUGAUCAGCCACACUGGAACUGAGACACGGUCCAGACUCCUACGGGAGGCAGCAGUGGGGAAUAUUGGACAAUGGGCGCAAGCCUGAUCCAGCCAUACCGCGUGGGUGAAGAAGGCCUUCGGGUUGUAAAGCCCUUUUGUUGGGAAAGAAAAGCAGCAGGUUAAUACCCCGCUGUUCUGACGGUACCCAAAGAAUAAGCACCGGCUAACUUCGUG
rnacentral:rRNA from 1 species